rnacentral:rRNA from 1 species
GAUGAACGCUGGCGGCGUGCCUAAUACAUGCAAGUCGAGCGAAUGGAUUAAGAGCUUGCUCUUAUGAAGUUAGCGGCGGACGGGUGAGUAACACGUGGGUAACCUGCCCAUAAGACUGGGAUAACUCCGGGAAACCGGGGCUAAUACCGGAUAACAUUUUGAACCGCAUGGUUCGAAAUUGAAAGGCGGCUCCGGCUGUCACUUAUGGAUGGACCUGCGUCGCAUUAGCUAGUUGGUGAGGUAACGGCUCACCAAGGCAACGAUGCGUAGCCGACCUGAGAGGGUGAUCGGCCACACUGGGACUGAGACACGGCCCAGACUCCUACGGGAGGCAGCAGUAGGGAAUCUUCCGCAAUGGACGAAAGUCUGACGGAGCAACGCCGCGUGAGUGAUGAAGGCUUUCGGGUCGUAAAACUCUGUUGUUAGGGAAGAACAAGUGCUAGUUGAAUAAGCUGGCACCUUGACGGUACCUAACCAGAAAGCCACGGCUAACUACGUGCCAGCCGCCGCGGUAA